GGCUGAGUUGACCCUUGCGCUUCUAGCAUCUGGUGAUAGCGGUCGGAGCAGUUAACCUGGAGCGGGAUUAUUGGAUACCCGGCCCGGAUUUGUUAACAUCCGCCCCCCCCCCCUCUCAUCACACUAAGUAAACUGUAAACAGUAACAUAAACACGUGAACUAGGAGAACCUUUAACUAACAUGGAGAACGUGAAAAAAAAUAAUAGUAUUGUUUACAAACAAGUGAAACCGGUUUUUGCUUUUUAAAGGAAUAUAUCAGUGAAUAAUAUCUGGUCAGUGAUCUAAGUAUCUGAGAAAGAUAAAUCAGUGUCUCCGGAAAACUACUCUAUCCUGUGAUAAAGAUGAGUUCAUCAAGUACAAGUAUAAUGGACGGGAGAAUCCCUGUAUUCGUAUUUCCGGUCCAGCUGGACUUCUACUACGACGACCAGACCACACACAAGCGUGUUGUUACCAUCUAUAAUCCCUACGAGUUCGAUGUUACGUUUAAGGUGCUGUGUAACAACCCUAAGAAGUAUGCCGUUGUUGAACCCGAAGGAAGAAUAUCAGGGCAGAAGUGUGUUGAUAUAGUUAUAAGACAUGUAGCUGUAUCCCCACAGUCUGUAGAAACCACGGAUAAAUUUAGAAUUCACAUGUUCGAAGAAGGUACUAGCGAGAUCCUUGGAAAGAAGGAUGUGUUGGCUAUUCUGCAUCCUGGGCUACCAGAGGCAGAAUCAGCCUCACUAGGCAACAAACAGAGGAAAUCCCAGCCAGGGUUUCCUCUCCUCAAAUCUGACGGAGAUUCGCCGCCUAGAGAUGUUCCUGUUCCCAACUAUAUUGCCUGUUUUGCUGCUGUUGUGUGUAUUUUAGCCCUUUUUCUUCCAACAUCGUGUGAAAAUGAUAGAAGUCAAUUAUUGCAGGAUUAUCCUUGGUUGCAUCUCUCGCUGAACCAGAAACUUGUUUUUGCGUAUGUACUUGGUCUGGUCACUAUGGCCAUUCUUAGGACAUAGAGCUUUAGUACGCUUUUUCUGCGUCAACCACGACACCGUGAUAUACAUACAGCAAACAUAUAAUUCUAAUUAUUUGCGUCAGUUUGUUAUGAUUAGAUCUGUGCUUUAUUAAACUACACUGUACAAUGUACACUGUACACUGUGAACAGUGCAGUACUGUUCAACACAGUUCACCCCGUGUUUGCCAUUUGUUUAUUAAGAUAUCAAGAGUAAUAUUUGAUAUUAGUUUUGGCAUUAAGUAAACAUUUUUGAAGGUUAAAUGUAAGAUCAUUGUAUUUUGUUAUUAUUCAGUAUGUUAUGUAGUAUAGUCUUCUAUCUUGUAUCCUAGUAUUCUGUAUCCAAGUACCCUAGUGUCGUAGUAUCCAAGUAUCCUUCUAUCUUGUAUCCUAGUAUCCAAUUUCUGUGGUAUCCUAGUGUAAUAGUAUUGUGAUAUCCUUUUUUCCUGGUGUAUUGGUGUCUUUGUAUCCUGGUAUCCAAGUAUUCUGAAUUCUAGUAACCCACUAUCUUGAAUCCUAGUAUUAAAUUACUGUAGUAUCUUGGUAUCCUAGCACCUAGUAUAUCCAAUAUAUAUCCAAGCACUCGAUAAUAUUAAAUACAUUUAUAAUCAUAAUCAAAAUUACAACAAAAUUGCAAGAAACCAACAAGUUUGUUUAUAGAAAGGACAUGAGUUCCAUUUUGAUUUUUUUUACUCUCAAUUACGUUUUUUUAUUUAUUUUUUUAAUUAAAAAAAAAUUUAAGGGUGAUAUUUUUUAUUGAACACACUAAUUUACUACUUUGCUGUUUUUUGUUCACCCCGUAGGUAUUGUUUAAUUCUAAGUUUUCUUUUUGUUAAAAUGUCGUCCGUACGGUAAAAUACUAUAUUGGGCUUUGAAUUUAAUGGUUUUCAGAAGACAGAACUUAUGCUGUUAAGAUUAAACUUAAGUAGAGCUAUUUACUGCAUGAAUUAAGAGAAGUAAUUU
rnacentral:misc_RNA from 1 species